AGAACGAACGCUGGCGGCAUGCCUAAUACAUGCAAGUCGAACGAACUCUUCGGAGUUAGUGGCGCACGGGUGCGUAACGCGUGGGAAUCUGCCCCUUGGUUCGGAAUAACAGUUGGAAACGACUGCUAAUACCGGAUGAUGACGAAAGUCCAAAGAUUUAUCGCCAAGGGAU
rnacentral:rRNA from 1 species